rnacentral:lncRNA from 1 species
GGGGGGGGGGGGGGGGGGGGGGGGGGGGGGGGGGGGGGGGGGGGGGGGGGGGGGGGGGGGGGGGGGGGGGGGGGGGGGGGGGGGGGGGGGGGGGGGGGGGGGGGGGGGGGGGGGUGGGUCUGGGUCUGGGUCUGGGUCUGGGUUUGGGUCUGGGUCUGGGCUUGGACAUGGACAUGGGGGGCACUGGGUGCUGCUCCCCAUUUGUGUAACGAGCUCUUCACUGUUCCUUACCACUGAGCCACACACAGAACAGGAAAAUCAGCUCCAUCCACCCCCCCAGGCUUUUAUGUUACUUUGCUUUUGGGGUAUUUAAUUUUCAAACAGGUGCUGCCUUUGCCACAGGCCUUCCACCCUCUUUGGGUGUAUUUCCCACCCCAGGAAAAGUCCAUGGGAAAAUCACAGCAGCCAAACAGACCCAACAGAGCAAAAGGUUUGUAGCUUUGCCAGUGGAGAGCUGAGGCUUCACCCAGAGCAGGGCACUGCUGUUCACCACCACCCCUCCCCUGCCCUGAGUCAAGGCCCCAGGGCAGGGGCCUUGCCUGACCCCUUGGACCAGGCUUUGAGUGAGUUUUGAGUGAGCUUUGGGUCACCCUGAAAAUCACCACAUUGCCCGAUUACCACAUUGUUCCAGAGCCUGCACUUGUCCCUGGCAAGGGUUCAGCUUUUCCUGAACUGCAGCUUAAAAAGGAAAAAUUGAGGCUGGAUCUGAGUCAAAUGUUCCCCCAGGUUUUCUCUCUCCCCUCCCGUUUCCAUGAGAGGUGUGUGAUCCAAAGGAGCACAGGCGGUGGGUGGUUCCAGGGGUGUCACCUCAAACCCUGGGGGCUGAUGCUGCAACAGGAAAUAUGUCCAUGGUUGAACAGGAAUAUGUGCAGGCUGAUAAUAAGCUGUCCAUCUAUAUAACCAUUCUGCUGACACAAAUCAUGAUGGAUAUGGAAAGAAAUAAAAUGCAAAUCUAAUGAGACACUGCUCAGAAUGAGACAAAAAAAAAAUAGAACCAUAUUCUUUAAUCAUCAAUGUGCAAAGCCAACCAGAAUGACUUUGUUUCAAG